rnacentral:rRNA from 1 species
ACCCAGUGUGAUUCGUCACACUAUCAUUAACUGAAUCCAUAGGUUAAUGAGGCGAACCGGGGGAACUGAAACAUCUAAGUACCCCGAGGAAAAGAAAUCAACCGAGAUUCCCCCAGUAGCGGCGAGCGAACGGGGAGGAGCCCAGAGCCUGAAUCAGCAUGUGUGUUAGUGGAAGCGUCUGGAAAGGCGCGCGAUACAGGGUGACAGCCCCGUACACAAAAGCGCAUGUGCUGUGAGCUCGAUGAGUAGGGCGGGACACGUGGUAUCCUGUCUGAAUAUGGGGGGACCAUCCUCCAAGGCUAAAUACUCCUGACUGACCGAUAGUGAACCAGUACCGUGAGGGAAAGGCGAAAAGAACCCCGGCGAGGGGAGUGAAAAAGAACCUGAAACCGUGUACGUACAAGCAGUGGGAGCACCCUUUGGGUGUGACUGCGUACCUUUUGUAUAAUGGGUCAGCGACUUAUAUUCUGUAGCAAGGUUAACCGAAUAGGGGAGCCGGAGGGAAACCGAGUCUUAAUUGGGCGUUAAGUUGCAGGGUAUAGACCCGAAACCCGGUGAUCUAGCCAUGGGCAGGUUGAAGGUUGGGUAACACUAACUGGAGGACCGAACCGACUAAUGUUGAAAAAUUAGCGGAUGACCUGUGGCUGGGGGUGAAAGGCCAAUCAAACCGGGAGAUAGCUGGUUCUCCCCGAAAGCUAUUUAGGUAGCGCCUCGUGAAUUCAUCUCCGGGGGUAGAGCACUGUUUCGGCUAGGGGGCCAUCCCGGCUUACCAACCCGAUGCAAACUGCGAAUACCGGAGAAUGUUAUCACGGGAGACACACGGCGGGUGCUAACGUCCGUCGUGAAGAGGGAAACAACCCAGACCGCCAGCUAAGGUCCCAAAGUCAUGGUUAAGUGGGAAACGAUGUGGGAAGGCCCAGACAGCCAGGAUGUUGGCUUAGAAGCAGCCAUCAUUUAAAGAAAGCGUAAUAGCUCACUGGUCGAGUCGGCCUGCGCGGAAGAUGUAACGGGGCUAAACCAUGCACCGAAGCUGCGGCAGCGACGCUUAUGCGUUGUUGGGUAGGGGAGCGUUCUGUAAGCCUGCGAAGGUGGCCUGUGAGGGUUGCUGGAGGUAUCAGAAGUGCGAAUGCUGACAUAAGUAACGAUAAAGCGGGUGAAAAGCCCGCUCGCCGGAAGACCAAGGGUUCCUGUCCAACGUUAAUCGGGGCAGGGUGAGUCGACCCCUAAGGCGAGGCCGAAAGGCGUAGUCGAUGGGAAACGGGUUAAUAUUCCCGUACUUGGUGUUACUGCGAAGGGGGGACGGAGAAGGCUAUGUUGGCCGGGCGACGGUUGUCCCGGUUUAAGCGUGUAGGUGUGUGUUCCAGGUAAAUCCGGUUCACUUUAACACUGAGGCGUGACGACGAGGCACUACGGUGCUGAAGCAACAAAUGCCCUGCUUCCAGGAAAAGCCUCUAAGCAUCAGGUAACAUCAAAUCGUACCCCAAACCGACACAGGUGGUCAGGUAGAGAAUACCAAGGCGCUUGAGAGAACUCGGGUGAAGGAACUAGGCAAAAUGGUGCCGUAACUUCGGGAGAAGGCACGCUGACACGUAGGUGAAGUGAUUUACUCAUGGAGCUGAAGUCAGUCGAAGAUACCAGCUGGCUGCAACUGUUUAUUAAAAACACAGCACUGUGCAAACACGAAAGUGGACGUAUACGGUGUGACGCCUGCCCGGUGCCGGAAGGUUAAUUGAUGGGGUCAGCGCAAGCGAAGCUCCUGAUCGAAGCCCCGGUAAACGGCGGCCGUAACUAUAACGGUCCUAAGGUAGCGAAAUUCCUUGUCGGGUAAGUUCCGACCUGCACGAAUGGCGUAAUGAUGGCCAGGCUGUCUCCACCCGAGACUCAGUGAAAUUGAACUCGCUGUGAAGAUGCAGUGUACCCGCGGCAAGACGGAAAGACCCCGUGAACCUUUACUAUAGCUUGACACUGAACAUUGAGCCUUGAUGUGUAGGAUAGGUGGGAGGCUUUGAAGUGUGGACGCCAGUCUGCAUGGAGCCGACCUUGAAAUACCACCCUUUAAUGUUUGAUGUUCUAACGUGGACCCGUUACCCGGGUUGCGGACAGUGUCUGGUGGGUAGUUUGACUGGGGCGGUCUCCUCCUAAAGAGUAACGGAGGAGCACGAAGGUUGGCUAAUCCUGGUCGGACAUCAGGAGGUUAGUGCAAUGGCAUAAGCCAGCUUGACUGCGAGCGUGACGGCGCGAGCAGGUGCGAAAGCAGGUCAUAGUGAUCCGGUGGUUCUGAAUGGAAGGGCCAUCGCUCAACGGAUAAAAGGUACUCCGGGGAUAACAGGCUGAUACCGCCCAAGAGUUCAUAUCGACGGCGGUGUUUGGCACCUCGAUGUCGGCUCAUCACAUCCUGGGGCUGAAGUAGGUCCCAAGGGUAUGGCUGUUCGCCAUUUAAAGUGGUACGCGAGCUGGGUUUAGAACGUCGUGAGACAGUUCGGUCCCUAUCUGCCGUGGGCGCUGGAGAACUGAGGGGGGCUGCUCCUAGUACGAGAGGACCGGAGUGGACGCAUCACUGGUGUUCGGGUUGUCAUGCCAAUGGCACUGCCCGGUAGCUAAAUGCGGAAGAGAUAAGUGCUGAAAGCAUCUAAGCACGAAACUUGCCCCGAG